rnacentral:ncRNA from 1 species
GGCACUCCGGAGAAUUCCAUCGCGGCGCAGUUUACACGUCACGCGGAUGGAUGCCGAAGGUGCAAGCGCGGCUCGCCGCGUCAAUCUCUCAGGCAAAAGGACGGAGGAAGG